UGUUGGUCCAUUUGCACCAACUCCUCCAAUCGCAAAUCAUACAAAUCAACCAAUAGUCAAAAAAAUCUUGGAUAGUAGUCGUCGGUUGACUGGCCCGCGAGCGCCGGGCGCACCCAGUGCUUGCGGAUCGGUUGACCGAUGACUAAAAUCCCGGAUUUUGGAGGGAUUUUUUGAUUUAUAUGAUUUGCGAUUGGACAAUUCGGUGCAGAUUAACCGACGGCUAACCGAUCCGCAAGCACUGGGCGCACCCAUCAUCCGUGGCGGGUUUUUCUUUUCCUGUGUGUGCGCCCAGGCACCACCAGACAGCGCCGGCCAGUGGCGUCCGCCGUGCAACUUUUCCCCGUGUUGACAGCAAACAUCAUUGUCUCUUGCCAUUGGCGCGCGGUACGAGGCAAAUAAAAAAGACGUA
rnacentral:lncRNA from 1 species